GAUGAACGCUAGCGACAGGCCUAACACAUGCAAGUCGAGGGGCAGCACGAAGUAAGCUUGCUUACCUUGGUGGCGACCGGCGCACGGGUGCGUAACAGGUGUGCAAUCUGUCCAUAAUCGGGGAAUAGCCCAGCGAAAGUUGGAUUGAUGCUCCAUGUGAGUUUUAGAGGCAUCUCUUUAAUUUGAAACGUAAGGAUUAUGGGUGAGCACGCUUCUGAUUAGGUAGUUGGUGAGGUAACGGCUCACCAAGCCGACGAUUAGUAGGGGUUCUGAGAGGAAGGUCCCCCACAUUGGAACUGAGACACGGUCCAAACUCCUACGGGAGGCAGCAGUGAGGAAUAUUGGUCAAUGGACGGAAGUCUGAACCAGCCAAGUCGCGUGAAGGAUGAAGGUUCUAUGGAUUGUAAACUUCUUUUAUACGGGAACAAACCCCGGUACGUGUACCGGAUUGCGUGUACCGUAUGAAUAAGCAUCGGCUAACUCCGUGCCAGCAGCCGCCGUAAUAC
rnacentral:rRNA from 1 species